rfam:Picea glauca, whole genome shotgun sequence.
AUGUACAUGCCUCCAACAUUAAUUCUACAGAUCCCAUCGGAACUUUGCAAUUAAGCAUGCUUUGGCUAGAGUAGUAUCGUGAUGGGUGACCUCCCUGGAAGUCCUAGUGUUUUACAUG